CCCCUCUCCUACUCUAUCUCCUGCACGCUGUCCUUCCUCCCAGUCCCAGUGCAGGGAACUCGAGCUGAACUUGAUCGCUUUGCAGUUCAAAGUGACUAUAAAGCAGCUGGAGGAGAAGGGAUGAGCUUGCUAAUGUUGCAACUUUACCAGCCCUAAUUGGAACCCGACCAAGGAAGCAGGAAUCCACAUCCACAAACUGAAAAACUUAUCUGACUUCUGUGCCACUGGGCAACUGGACUCCAGAAUGCGGCAUUCAAAAGCUGAGCAGUCUGAGACAUGAUUCUUGACCUGCCUCGUGUUUGCCCAAAGCAGAGAACCUAUGGGGAAUAAAAAGAAAAACACCCUUAACUCAAGUCAGGGGAACUGGA